AACGACAGAAACUCAGAACUGAAAGAGGACCCUGCAGGCCGGGUCCUGCAGGUCGGGUCCUGCAGGGGGCGCUGCAGGUCGGGUCCUGCAGGUCGGGUCCUGCAGGUCUGGUCCUGCAGGUCUGGUCCUGCAGGUGGCGCUGCAGGGCCAGUUUGAGGCUCUAAUGAGCUCCAGCUUGUGUUCUUUAGCUGUUUCUCUGAGGUCCGACUAUCUGAGGUAGUCGUGACUGAACUGCUUCAUCAGCUGCAUGAAGUUCUGUGGUUCUGCUUCCUGUCGGGCUCGGUGUCGUGUUUACGGGUCAGAACCAUUUUCAACAUGUCCUCAAAUGAAAAGAGUUUCAAUCUGAACGUUUUCUUCUAACGACUGAAACAGUUUUCUGUUUUAACAAAGUCUGUAUGAAGAGUACUGGGUUCAGACGGGCCCUGGUUCUGGACUCUGAUCCGGUCCGGACCAGGCAGACAGAACUGAAACAAAGAUUAAAAUAAACUGAACAAAGCGAUACUGCACAGCUUUAUCAGGUCGAUCCUGCUGUUGGAGUGUUGGGGGCCCACGGGGGGUCCKGCGGUGUGCUCGGGGCCUUGUUUKCUCCUGAUYCGCCCGUGCAGAACCAGAAYCAGAACCAGAACCAUUACACUGCCAGUUGCACAAGAACCUCUCCUAAUCGCUGCCGUACGUAUCUUACCGUGGUGUUGCUGCUUCAUGUGACUUUUUUUCUGCUUCGUGGCGUCUGUCAUACCUCUGCUGUGACGACGUCUGGCUCCGCCCCUUCAAGCCUCAGGCUUUGGGGGAGUGGGCGGAGCCUCGUCCUCACGCUGCCACACCCUCAGCACGUUGAUGUUUGACGUGUUUCCUGCAGCCGUAGGGUCUGUUCUGCUGUAACCUGUUGGACCGGAUAGAUCAGGUGUUUAUAUUCCUGCAGACAGAAGCUGGUUUUAGUUGUAAAGUUUUGUUUUCUGUAAAUUGCACUAAUUGUUUUACAGAACCUCCUCGAUGUGCCGUUAAAGUUCUUAUGAAUGUUGUCAGAACUGAAGCUAAAUAUGAAACAUGUUAAGACAUUAGAUGUGUUUAAUCAUAAUAAACUAAAUAAUAUUUAAAAGAAA